GCUGGGGAUUUAGCUCAGUGGUGCCUUGCCUGCCUGGGAAACACCAGGUCCUGAGUUCAAUUCCCAGUACUGAGAAAAAAAUAUUAAUAAAUAAACACUUAUACUUACUUUCCUUUUUUCUCUUCCUCUCCUUCCUCGUCCCUCUCCCUCUCUUCUGGUUUUUUUCUUCCUCCUUUUUCUGUAGGAUAUGCCUCAAGGCCGACUUUAAAGGAACAAAAUCAAGCCAGCAGCACGGUUGGCCCACAGACGAUGGUUUCCAGUUCCAGUAUUACAUGGCUUCCGUUUACUUCCAUUGUCUGUGAGAGAAGCCUCUGUUCAUCACAGCAUAGGAUUCUUCAUGAUAACUUUCAAAUAAAAUAAAUUUCAUGUAAGAAUUAUGUGGAGAUUUUAGAAAGCUUUAGAUGUGUGGCAGUUUGUACACUUUAUAAAUGAAGAUUAUAGACAUGCCAGUAUGAUUAGGGUGGAAGGAGGAAGGAGAAGAGAAGGAUCUGUGUGGGUUUAUUACAUCUCCCUGUAAAAGGCCUGGAGGAAAUACAUGAAUUCUUCUAUAAAUCUAGUGUUUUUUAGGUGGGAGACAGUCAUGACAUGGCACAUGGGAAAGUUCAGUAAAUAUUAGUUUAGUGGUUAAGUAUCUCUGGAGACAGAUUGUCUCCAUUCUAAUCCUGGUUCCAUCAUUUGCCAGCUAUUUUAGCUAGCUGUGCUUGUGUUUUUCCAUCCAGAACAAAAGAAAAAAAAAGGAGUGGGGGAAAUCAUACCUCUUAGGUUGGUUAUUAUGAAAUUUAUUGAAGUAUUUGUCAUUGCCUUUUCUAAUUCCAAGGCAGUUGAGAAUGUUAGGUACAACUCCAUUAAAACAUUGGUGAUAAUGAUAUCUAUAAUUUGAUGCCUGCAUUUGUCUUGCGUGUUUAGAAAUGGUACAUGGCUUGCCACUAUCUGCUACCCAAGAAAAACAACUGAAAAUUAGCUCAAAAUAU
rnacentral:lncRNA from 1 species